UAAUUUUACAAAAAAAGUAUGUACAUAUAUUAUCAAUUCAAACAACAUUAGAAUAAAUUAUUUUUAUUUUUAUGAAAUAUUUAAUAAUUAACGGAAUAUUAAUUUAAAUAUAUUAUAACUUUGUAAUACUGGUAAAUGUAUGCCCUUGCUUAAAAUCGCAUGUUUUACAGUGAUAUCUCACAUGCAACACAUUCCUCAAAGAAUCCACCAACUUCAGGAAGAGAUUUCGGUGCGCCCUAUCACGGUUUGUAUAAGAAGUGUUUGGGACAUCAGAAAAUACCAAACAUAUAAUACUCAAAUUUACAUCGGCUUCAUGUGCUACGACCACCACAUAAGCCUUUUAUUAAAACUUUAACAUAUACAUACAUAUAUAUGUAUUUUCCAAUCCAACAUAUUUGGUUUAAAAUACUCACUAUUUACUUAAUUGGUUCGGCACAACAAAAUUUGUUCACAUUCAGGGACAACUAUUAGAAGGUCAGCUCACCGGAAACAUUCAGCCAAAUGACCCAAAAAAUUUAACCGGGGGAGAUAUAUAUGAAUUUUCAGGAAAACAUAAUUCACGACAUCGAAAACUCACCCAACUGUCGUAUUACAUUCAGAUCGAUCAAAAGACAAUAACAUCGAAAGUUACAGACAUCGGUCCAAUAUUUCCAGUUCACAAUUUCUCUCCUCAGAAUUACAAAAAUCUAUUGCGCUUAGCCACUACACCCACCUACUUACCAGGUAAGUAAGUCAGUCCAAUAUCAAUUAAACAAACAUGGAUGUUUAUUCUAACUCAGAAUCAAUGUGCAGAUGUCGUCGGGCAGAUACUCAUAAUACAAAAAAUAAAUCUGUACCACCCAGAAUUCAAUACUGAUACCACGAUUGGUCUACGGCUGAACAUGUAAGUCUAACACAAUAGGUAAAACGAAAUCAUAAUUCUCUUCAUACAUACACCUCUAUCUCAGAUCGACAAUUGUUAAACUCAUACUGUGCGACAAGCAAGCGGCAGAUUUUAGCAUCAUAAAAAGCAAGAAGAAUAGGAAAUUUAAAGUUGUCAUCAUCACAAGCAUAAUUCCUAAACUUUUCCAAGGUAAAUAAUUUUUUUAAACACAUCAAAACAUAAUACAGAUCUAAUUAUGUUUUUUUAUCAAUGGAACAAUAAUAUCCAAUAUUUUCCAGGCAAACUACUACCCAGUUCAUCACCAUCAACAAAUUUCUACUUCAACAAAUCAAUUGAUUACAUAAAGCAUUUCAAAGGGCGAAUAAGAGAUCAUGCAUAAGCAUGCAACAAAGAGUGACUUUAAUUCAUGCAUCAUUCGGAUUAUUAUUUUCUUUCCCAUACAGCUUGAUACCUAGAUUUAUUUGCAUUUUAAACAAUUUUAUCAUUGUUUUUUUUUUAAGUCUCUACUUCUCUAUAAAAUCUAAAACUCAACUUCUGUCUUUCGAACUUUCUUAAGCAAUUUAAAUAUAUAGAGAAUAAAUUAAAAAGACAUAAUCGUGUCUUUAAGAUUUAAGAUUUAUGCACUUUCUUUAUAUAUUAAUUAUUGAAAAAAUAUAAUUUGCAUUCUCUAUUUUUUUUUUUUUAAAAACAAAUCAAUAGAUUUGUGCUGAAAAAAUUAUAUUAUCACAAUCUGCAUUUUAGAUCUGUACUAUUUAGACAUACAUAGCAUGGUGGAAACCUUAUCAAUUUAACAUAUUUAUUUGAAACAUAAAGCAACAUAAAGGUCUCUCAAAACUCCUGCACCGAUAGAGCUAUUCUCACUCCCCGGAAUGAAACAGUUGAUGAAAUCAAUGCAUACACAAUCUCCAACACUGACGGAGAGUCAAGAGAUUACUUCAGCUGCGAUAGCUUUGAGAUUUUGGAUACUCAAUCUGAUCAAAAUGAUGCAUUAUACGCGACUGAGUAUCUCAACUCUUUGGAAUUCUCAGGAUUGCCUUCUCAUAAUCUCACUCUCAAAGUUGGGGCCCCAGUUAUGAUUCUGCAAAACAUAAAUAAAAAAAGGAUUAUGCAAUGGUACCCGUAUGAUUCUAACCUACGUAGGCGAGCGAGUGCUUAAGGCAGAUAUAAUCACUGGCUCACACGUUGGACACGAAGUCUUGAUCCCAAGGAUUGUUCUCCUGCAUGAUGGAACAAAGUUACCGUUCACUUUACGUCGUAGACAAUUCCCUAUCAGAUUGUGUUACGCAAUGACAAUCAACAAAAGUCAAAGACAAAGUUUAAAGGAGGUUCUCUUAUAUCUGCCUAAACCAGUCUUCGCACAUGAGUAACUCUAUGUGGCCCUCUCACGUGUAACAAGCAAAUCAGGACUAAAAUUCAUUAAAGCCAAAGAUCAGCAUCCACAAAAAAUGAAGAACAUAGUCUACAAGGAGAUCUUCAACUAUCUCCGUUCCCAUGAAACGAUCAACAUAAACAGAUGAAAGCUAGAUAUCAUCUUGAUGAUUGUUAUCUCACUACUUCAAGGUAUGUCAACUUAUACUAUGAAAUAUAUAAGCGGAUUUCUAUUAUUAAUAUAUGUUCACUGAUUUACUUUUAAAUGAUUUCAGGCUCUCACUCAAAAAGAUCCCAUCACAUCCACACGACCUCUUCUUCGGUUUUUCACCAUCUUAUCUAUGAUUUCCACAUUCCAUGUUUUCUUUUUUUUCUGGUGAAUAAGAGUUUACAUGAGAUUAUUCGCAUACUUAUGCUAAAAGACAUGAUUUAUAUC